ACUCCUACGGGAGGCAGCAGUGGGGAAUAUUGGACAAUGGGGGAAACCCUGAUCCAGCCAUGCCGCGUGUGUGAAGAAGGCCUCGGUUGUAAGCACUUCUAGUGGGAGGGAAGGUAGAUGGUUAAUACCUAUCAGCUGUGACGUUACCCACCAGAAGAAGCACCGGCUAACUCCGUGCCAGCAGCCGCGGUAAUACGGAGGGGUGGCAAGCGUUAAUCGGAAUUACUGGGCGUAAAGCGUGCGCAGGCGGUCUGUUAAGCGAGAUGUGAAAGCCCCGGGGCUCAACCUGGGAACUGCAUUUCGAACUGGCAGACUAGAGUCUUGUAGAGGGGGGUAGAAUUCCAGGUGUAGCGGUGAAAUGCGUAGAGAUCUGGAGGAAUACCGGUGGCGAAGGCGGCCCCCUGGACAAAGACUGACGCUCAGGCACGAAAGCGUGGGGAGCAAACAGGAUUAGAUACCCUGGUAGGUCAGUC
rnacentral:rRNA from 1 species